GAUGAAGAACGCAGCGAAAUGCGAUAAGUAAUGUGAAUUGCAGAAUUCAGUGAAUCAUCAAAUCUUUGAACGCACAUUGCGCCCGCCAGUAUUCUGGCGGGCAUGCCUGUCUGAGCGUCAUUUCAACCCUCAUGCCCCUAGGGCGUGGUGUUGGGGAUCGGCCAAAGCCCGCGAGGGACGGCCGGCCCCUAAAUCUAGUGGCGGACCCGUCGUGGCCUCCUCUGCGAAGUAGUGAUAUUCCGCAUCGGAGAGCGACGAGCCCCUGCCGUUAAACCCCCAACUUUCCAAGGUUGACCUCAGAUCAGGUAGGAAUACCCGCUGAACUUAAGCAUAUCAAUAAGCGGAGGA
rnacentral:misc_RNA from 1 species